UCAGAGCGCCGCUUGGAUUUCUUUUGUUUCGUUGUGCUUGUGGCGUCGCGCGGCGGGCAGCGCGGACCGGAGGCUCCAGUUGCCUCAACACGACCUCACUAGUGCGCCUCUUCCAGUGGUCGUGAUCAGGUUUGACGAGCGGGGUCGGAUAAAGCGAGUCCAGCUCCGCAGCGCGAGGGACUCACUGGUUCAGCUGCUCUGCCUUCAGCCGGCCGCCGGGGGCUUCCUCUCUUAGCUCCGUGGCAUAAAUGGCAAACCGUGCGGUGUCAUCUUACCCUUCUCUUUCAAUGCAGCCUUUUUUUUUACCCUCCUCCCUUCGCCAACCCAACAGAUGUUGGUUUUGUUGCAGUCCAUUGAUGGUAUGGCUCGGAAAAGCUGCUACUGUACGCACUGAGCUCCGUAUAUCUGGGUCAGGGUCUGUCGAUGUAGGUGACCGGGGGAUCUGGGGAUUAAAACCUCUUCAUCUGCCUUUGCAUAAAUCCUACUUUAUAGCCCACACUUCAGCUUUAGCCAAUAUGAUUUGCAUUGUUACUCGUUUGCCUGCAGGCUAGCUUUCUUUAUUUGAUCUGUGUGGAUGUCGUCAUCGGACCUGUGCAGUGGCCAAUAAAACAGGAGGAGAGUGGGUAAGUGCUGAGCUCGUGGCGGUGGUACACCGACUAGCUCAAGCUGUCGUUCACAGGACAACUGACUCCCGUUAGCUGUGUGUGUCUCAUGUUACAGAACAUAUCACGCACAUAUGUAAAGUGUGUAUGUAGCCACACAGUCUGGGCUCGACACAAAGGAACUGUUUGUUCUCUGUGUGUGUGUGUGUGUGUGUGUGUGUGCGCACCUGUUGAUGUUCUCUCUUAAAUGAUGGAUGUUUUUUUUUUAUCAUACAAAUUAUUUUCUGUGAUGCAAAUAAACACAUAAAAGACCGA